UGGGUUGUAGCUCAGUUGGUAGAGUGCUUGCCUGGCAUGUAUGAAGCCCUGGGUUCAAUCCCCAGUACCACAU
rnacentral:tRNA from 1 species